rnacentral:pre_miRNA from 1 species
CAUGUACUCCCUUCGUCCGAAAAUACUUGUCAUCAAAAUGGAUAAAAAGGGAUGUAUCUAAAACUAAAAUACGUCUAGAUACAUCCCUUUUUGUUCAUUUUGAUGACAAGUAUUUUCGGACGGAGGGAGUAUUAA